UAAGCGUGAAGGUGGGUGUUUUUGGAAAAUCCGGAACACCAUAACACUGAGGCGUGAUGACGAGUCACUACGGUGACGAAGUAACCGAUGCUACGCUUCCAGGAAAAGCCUCUAAGCACCAGGUAACAGUCAAUCGUACCCCAAACCGACACAGGUGGUCAGGUAGAGAAUACUCAGGCGCUUGAGAGAACUCGGGUGAAGGAACUAGGCAAAAUGGUGCCGUAACUUCGGGAGAAGGCACGCUGGAUUUGGUGAAGUCCCUUGCGGAUGGAGCUGAGACCAGUCGCAGAUACCAGCUGGCUGCAACUGUUUAAUAAAAACACAGCACUGUGCAAACACGAAAGUGGACGUAUACGGUGUGACGCCUGCCCGGUGCCGGAAGGUUAAUUGAUGGGGUCAGCCUUAGGGCGAAGCUCUUGAUCGAAGCCCCGGUAAACGGCGGCCGUAACUAUAACGGUCCUAAGGUAGCGAAAUUCCUUGUCGGGUAAGUUCCGACCUGCACGAAUGGCGUAAUGAUGGCCAGGCUGUCUCCACCCGAGACUCAGUGAAAUUGAACUCGCUGUGAAGAUGCAGUGUACCCGCGGCAAGACGGAAAGACCCCGUGAACCUUUACUAUAGCUUGACACUGAACCUUGAGCCUUGAUGUGUAGGAUAGGUGGGAGGCUGUGAAGCGUGGACGCCAGUCUGCGUGGAGCCGACCUUGAAAUACCACCCUUUGAUGUUUGAUGUUCUAACGUGGGCCCGUAAUCCGGGUUGCGGACAGUGUCUGGUGGGUAGUUUGACUGGGGCGGUCUCCUCCCAAAGCGUAACGGAGGAGCACGAAGGUUAGCUAAUCCUGGUCGGACAUCAGGAGGUUAGUGCAAAGGCAUAAGCUAGCUUGACUGCGAGAGUGACGGCUCGAGCAGGUGCGAAAGCAGGUCUUAGUGAUCCGGUGGUUCUGAAUGGAAGGGCCAUCGCUCAACGGAUAAAAGGUACUCCGGGGAUAACAGGCUGAUACCGCCCAAGAGUUCAUAUCGACGGCGGUGUUUGGCACCUCGAUGUCGGCUCAUCACAUCCUGGGGCUGAAGUAGGUCCCAAGGGUAUGGCUGUUCGCCAUUUAAAGUGGUACGCGAGCUGGGUUUAGAACGUCGUGAGACAGUUCGGUCCCUAUCUGCCGUGGGCGUUGGAAGAUUGAGAGGGGUUGCUCCUAGUACGAGAGGACCGGAGUGAACGCACCACUGGUGUACGGGUUGUGAUGCCAAUUGCAUUGCCCGGUAGCUAAGUGCGGAAGAGAUAACCGCUGAAAGCAUCUAAGCGGGAAACUUGCCUCGAGAUGAGUCUUCCCUGGGACUUCGAGUCCCCUGAAGGGCCGUUGAAGACGACGACGUAGAUAGGCCGGGUGUGUAAGCGCAGCGAUGCGUUGAGCUGACCGGUACUAAUGACCCGAGAGGCUUAACCUUACAACACCGAAGGUGUUU
rnacentral:rRNA from 1 species